rnacentral:rRNA from 1 species
GCGUACGGGUGAGUAACACGUGACUAACCUACCCUCGAGUGGGGAAUAACUUCGGGAAACCGAGGCUAAUACCGCAUGACAUCUACGGAUCAAAUGCGCAAGCAGCUUGAGGAGGGGGUCGCGGCUGAUUAGCUAGUUGGCGGGGUAACGGCCCACCAAGGCAAUGAUCAGUAGCCGGCCUGAGAGGGCGCACGGCCACACUGGAACUGAAACACGGUCCAGACUCCUACGGGAGGCAGCAGUGGGGAAUUUUGCGCAAUGGGGGAAACCCUGACGCAGCAACGCCGCGUGGAGGAUGAAGCCCCUUGGGGUGUAAACUCCUUUCGAUCGGGACGAUUAUGACGGUACCGGAUGAAGAAGCACCGGCUAACUCUGUGCCAGCAGCCGCGGUAAUACAGAGGGUGCAAGCGUUGUUCGGAAUUAUUGGGCGUAAAGGGUGCGUANGCGGUGCGGUAAGUCUUCUGUGAAAC